GGUGCCUCUGUCAGUUUGUGAUAACACAUGCCCUUUACAACCUGCUGCUCUCUUUGGAUCAUCUGCACAAAAUCCAUACAGAAUCACAGAGCGAUACAGAAUUGGGCCAGAAGAAACCUUUGAGUAAUAUCUGCUGGUGUCCUCUAUGCUAAGGAGAGGCCAUCACGGGCAUGCUGCUCCUACUGCCCACUCCCAUCUGACACCACCACAGCCUCCUCAGCUGAUGGAGCCCAGGCUUUGUUUCUCCCUCCAAGGAGGAGAGGGUCAAUGGGAUGCAGUGCCAUGCAGAAUACCAACCGGGCAUGCAGAAGACAGAAACUUAAACGGGGUGACAUCUCCACUUUGCCAAUGCAUUGGAUGGACACAGAAAAUCUCAAAAAAGAUGUCUGGAAAAUCUGAGUUUGUUUUGUCCCCCACAGUCUUCAAGAUUUUAUUUUCUGGAUCUGUGACCGAGUCUCUCGACAAAUAAAUCCCCAGGGCUACCAGGGAAAGAUUUCUCCCAACUCGAGCUGAGAUCUUGGCCAAGUUCCAACCACUGCUGCAGAUGUCCUGUCUGACAUGGGGCGGGCAGCCACCACUGACCCCACAUGUCUGCUCAUCUACCAAACUGGGAUGUGAAAGCUCCCACACAACACAGUGCUUUGCCAGAUGUGUUGUUGAACUUCAUGUGUUUAUGUUUGUGAAGAGAACAUAGGAUGAAAGGCAUUGCAGAAAUGCAAGAUAUGAUUUGUUAUGAUUUAAAAGCCAUUCUGAUUUAGCAAUGCUACUUUCAAAUAUUUGCAUCCUGCAGGCAUUUCCAGAUAAGGACUCAAGCCCAGCUUUUCUUUUCCGGUACCGAUUUUUUUAAAAAGCAGAGUGGUUUCCAAACCCUUUGGAAAUGGAACUUUGAGCUUGCCUGCUGCAGCCUGUGUGACCACAGGAGCCAGGCUGUGGCUUUACAGGCAUGGAGGCAUGGAAAGCAGUCCUGUUCUUGCUUCUGUUCCCUCUGUGAAGAGACCCUGUAUCUCCCCCAGCUUCACCCUGCACACCCAUUCUUGCAGGCAUUCAUGAAGGUAACACAAACCAAGCUGGAACAUUUUGCCAGUGUGUGUGGAGUUGGGGCUGCAGCAGGGCAGAGAGGGCAGAAAGCUCGGAGACUGAUGUCCCCACAGCAGUAACUGUUAAAAGGACUCACCUCAUCACUGGCACCUGGAAUUUCUUCCCACCUCAUCACUGGCACCUGGAAUUUCUUCCCACUUACCUGAACUGAGGCAUGCAUGAAUGUGAGAAUAAGUCCUGUGGGAUGUCUCUGAGCCCCUGCUAAAAUCCAGUAAUUUAAAUAAGCAUAGGGGACUAAAGACAAAGACAACAGAAUUUAAGGAUUUCUGUCUUAUAUCCUAAAAUAAAUAUGAAAUUUUCCAUUCCCAGUGAAGGUAGCAAGUACCUCCUGCUCAAAGUCUUCCAGCUGAGAGCACUCUGGGCACAUGUGAUGGUGCUGCUCAGAUACUCUGGCCCCAGCCCCCUUUCCCUGGCCUCCCCACGUUGAGCCAUAUCAGUCCUGGGCUUCAUUGCCUCGAGCUUGGGUAGUGAGGGGUCAGUGAGGAGUGCAGUGCCUAAAAAAAUCCCCAAAAGCAGUGAGUGGGGACCUGCUGACUUUAGGCUUCCAACAAUGCAACCCAAUCAAAUGCAUCUAAUUUCCCAGUCACCACUUCUUGCACACGACCUGUUAAAAGGAUUAAAUUAAAAGAAUUCCCAGAGCUAAUCUAGUGAUGAUAUGAUGAGAGACAGGAGCUCAAGCAUAUCCCAGAGGUGACUGAUCAGGUUUCCUAGGAUGUAUUAUUUAUGGGGCCAUCUGCUUUAGACAAGCCUUGAAGUCUGAAAGGGAGGAGGAUUUUGAUGGAAUUCACUCAUUUAACUGGAAGAGGGUGAUUGUGGAAGGGAUGCUGUGGUUUCUCACCGCUCUUGCCACCUCUCUCUAAAAAAUGAUGCAGUAGUUAUUUACAGAAUAAAGCUGGCAGCAGGGUACCUCUGUGUCUAUGCCUUCAACAAAAUGCUGCUGAACUCUGAGAGCUCACGUGUGUCCUCAGAGAAGGGGCCAUUCAUAGCAAGGUCCAUUAGCAUCAGGGAGAGAGGUGUAAAUAUGUUUCAGCCUGAGCUACUGGUACUGUGAAAAACACAGGUGUAUAAACAGAGCCAUGACUGGAAUGUGAGGAGGUAGGGGGGUGGCCAAAAAAGAGGCAGAGUUGGCAGGAAAACAGGAAGAAUUUUCCCAAGAUAGGUGAUUUAGUUACUAUAUAGCUCAGUAACUGCAGGAUCUGUUUACAGCAAUUGCAGACAACACAAAGCAAAAUCACAAAUGUAUAAAAAGAAACUGUCUUUCUUUCUGAUUUAGGCUGACAUACUAUUUAAAUAAUGUGGGUCAAGCAAUCUGAAAUAAAAUAUCUUCAUGAACAGAAUUCCCUUCUGUCCAUCUCCCACGGUGCUAAAAGUAGCCACCUUCUGCUGACAUUUCCCCAUCACAUGUGCAUUAUCAGAUUUCUAAAUAUUGAAGCUUCCUCAGGGUAAUGUCUAAGCCUUUCUUAGUGAUCAGGAGCGAAAGUCCUGAAAGCCUCAAAGCUUUGGCUUUGAAAAUUCUACUAAACCUUUACACAGAAAUUUGCUGGAAGCUACCUGUCAGUUUGCUGCCCACUUUCCAGUAAUUCAGACUAAUGACUUGUCCACACCCCCUCUUUUUUUGCCCUUUGCAUCUGUCUAGAAGGAGCUUUCUGCUCCAGUUACUGGUUUAAUAACACAAGGCUAUGUACUGAGGCAAAAUUCUCACACAGUCCUACUUGGUUUGUCUCAUGACUGUUUUC